ACAAUGAGUUAGCGCUGAGGUGGAUAAGUAACUCAAAUCACUUAAUACCAAUUAACGCACGUGCAACAUGUUGAAAAGAGAAACUCAGAACAAAUAACACAAAUGCGGAUCUCUCUUCUAUCUCAUUUCAUUUUCUGCUUCUAUUUCUCCCUCCGCCAUUCCGGAGGCUAUCCUCGUCGGCAUAAGCACUCCAAUUAACAAACUAAAGACAACAUCUAACCUAUUUUGACGCCCUAUAUCCGAAUCUACCACUAAAAUUCCCUAAUUCCUCGAUAACUUCUCAAAUCAAAACAAAAUCUUGAUGAACCUUAACAUGAAAAAAUGGAAUUAAAUCGCAUCGGAGGGAAAUCGAUCCACCCCACAUUGGGGCUUUGAUUCCCCUCGUGAAGAACUACAUUCCUGUAACUAAAUUUUGAAAAAACAAAGAAGGUGAUUGAAGGCUCACUAGAGCACACAUCGGCGUCAGGGUUGUGGUUUCAAUGGCUAAGGCAAGGUUGACUUGAGAUGUUAUCAUGGUUCUUAGUUAUGAUGGAUCAUGUCAUAGUUUUUCUUUGGUCAUGAAAUUGGAUAUGGAUUUAUGAGCUUUGGAUCAUUAGACUAGUUUUGAUCAUGUUGGAUACUGUUGUAAUGGUUUAUAUUGUGAAUUUGAAAUUAUGUAUGGUUAUGUAAAAGGUAUUUGGAAAUUGAAUAAAUGGAAUUUUGUAUA